UUAUCAGUCUCUUCUGCUCCUUCGAGGAAGAUGGACGGACCUUAGGCGGAAUCAGCUCCUCUAGGAAAAUGUUUUUGUUGUUUUAAACGUAUUUAAAUUACUAGCUCGCGAUGAUUAUGUAAAAUAUAUAACCUUAAGAGUACAGUGAGAAAUGUGUUCGGUAGAUAAUUUAGGUUAACAGUGUGGCCUAGAUUUACAGCGUGCUACAAAAUUAGCUAAGUUAGUGUUAGCGUUAUUGUUUUCUAGUUCAGCGUCUGGGGGACUUCUAGGCCUAGUAGUAAAACUAUGAAAUAAUGGACUGUCGUAGAAAGCAUCAAAUAAGGCAAUAAUCAGAUCUUGUAAUGUUAAGACCACGCUAUCAGGUGAACCUCGUGGAGGCUUGGGGUGCUUUUGGAAUGGAAGAACUGCUUGAAACUUAAUAAUAAAAACUAAAAUUGA